CACACACAUAAGCUACUCGUAACACUAUGCCUCGUUAUUGCGACGUUCAUGUUAGAUGUUCAUGUAUUUUCCCAUCUAUUGAAAGAUGGCUAUUAAACAUUUUGCAUUCUAUACGGCCUGAUUAUGUAAUUAUUUAAGCUGCAUAGCCAAUGAGAAGCGCCAAUAGGAUAUUUGACUAAACCACCAAACUAGUUGAGGGUUUUUGCCUACCUGCAAGCAUCCUCCAACUUCAAUCUUUGGUUAUUUAUUAAUUAAUUUAGCUGUACUUUAAUAGGAUUUCCGAAUUGAAGCUAUGUUGACUGGGCAUAGCGCUAUAUUUUUUUCUGAUCUGGGUUUUUCCCUUUCUUCAGGAUGUCUUUCUCUCUUAAGGAGAUGUGUGAAAUGGUCAAUGUCAGGUAUGAUAGGGUACUUGAGGCGAACGUGAGGGUCAACAAUGAGGAGGAAGGUUUGUAGGAAACUAAAAUUGAGUCAACCAGACAGGAAAGUCUAAACUGUAUUCAUUACUCUAAAUGGUUUCCCUCUGUCAUUGUCAGAUUCAGUUGAAAGUGACGGUGCAAAUACAGCUGCCAAUGAGGGUAUGUACUUUAGGCUUAAAUAUUUUUUCUCCCAGUAGCAGCUACCUACUAUUCUGCAACCCAAAGCCUAUUGAUGUGUUGCACAUUAAGAUGAAAGCCUGCCACACUUGUUGUUCUGAUUCCCUUGAUCAAGGAAGGAAUCCAAAUACUAACUCAUCAAAUUAUUCUCUGGAAAGUGAUAAUGACAAUCACUCUGAAAGUGCCAGUGAUGACUCACUUGAACACGAUCCUGAAAAUGACCCGGAAUACACACCUGUCAAUGAAGAUGCUGUUGAUGUUGAUGUUGCUGUUGACCGGGGAAGGUCAAGAAAGAGGGCCAACCCAGACGCUUGGAAGGGUAACAUUCAGAAAAGGAGAAGAAUGAGGGGCCAAUCAUAUCUUGGACGAAAAAAAAAUGAAUUCAUCAACAUAGAAGAAAGAAAAAUGGAGGGGCGGUGCCUGGCUGAGGCCUGCCGGAAAUCCAGCAAACUACACUGCACCGAAAUCGAUGAAGGGAAGAGGGAAAAAAUAUUCAAGUAUUUUUGGGGGAAAUUGGACUGGAAAGAAAGGAAAAUCUAUGUGAAGUCACUGGUGGAGGUGAGUGAUGUCAAGCGGCGCCGGACAGAAGCGGUUCAGUCUCGGAGGUCAGCAUCUCUCUGUUGUUUUUUAUGUGUUGAUGGUAAAAGGCUCAGAGUUUGUCAGCGGAUGUUCCUGUCGACCCUUGGCAUCAAGCAGUGGAGUGUUCUAAAAUGGGUUGGAAGAAGAGAUGAAAGUCCUGAGAAGACGGCAAGAGUGAGGGUGAGGACAGAGGAGCGGGACUUCCUAAAGUCCUUUCUUCUUGAACUGCCGAAAGUACCAUCGCACUACUGUAGGUCCUCCUCUUCCAAGAUGUACCUGGAGCCUUUAUUCAAAUCAAUCAAUCAUCUCCACUCACAAUAUAAGCAGGCAUGUGCAGCCAACGGCAUCCAGGCUCUGUCAAGACAAGUGUUCAGUAACACCUUUAAAGAAUUAAAUCUGUCAUUGUUCCAUCCAAAAAAAGAUCAGUGUGACACUUGCUGUGCCUUCAAAGCCGGGAACAUCGAGGCUGCUGUGUGGGAGGAACACUGCGUUAAGAAGGACGAGGCACGAGCAGAAAAGGAUAGGGACAAGCAACUUGCAAAUAACACCACCUUGGUUGCAUGCAUGGAUCUGCAGGGCCUUCUCCUCUGCCCAAAGCUUCAAGCGUCUGCCCUCUAUUUCAAAAUGAAGCUGAGUGUCCAUAAUUUUACCAUCUACAAUAUGGCAUCACAUGAAGCGACAAAUUACCUUUGGCAUGAGGGUGAGGGGGGGGUCUCUGCCAAUGAGUUUGCCUCCUGCAUUGUGGACUAUCUUGAAACACACCUCACUUACACUGAAUUCAUUCUUUGGAGUGAUGGGUGUGGUUAUCAAAACCGAAACCUGGUCCUGAGCAAUGCCCUCUUAAAGUUUGCCACUGAAAGAAA
ensembl:lncRNA